UGUUCUCAGGGCGGGGUGUAAUUCCCCACCGGCGGUAUAGCCCGCGAGCGCCUUUGGCCUUACCGCCGAAGGGUCAGCAGAUUCGGUGUAACUCCGAAGCCGACGGUAUAGUCCGGAUGGAAGAGGACA
rnacentral:ncRNA from 1 species